UAAUUUGUUUGGGACAAAUCCUCAUCUAGUUAUAAUAGACUCACACCUGACUGCUUAAAAUCACUAGUUAUUGUAGGAUUGACUACAUCAAAAUUGAUUGGUUUUUUGUUUUCAAAGAGAUU
rnacentral:pre_miRNA from 13 species